AGUGAACGCUGGCGGCAGGCCUAACACAUGCAAGUCGAACGGCAGCACAGUAAGUGCUUCCUCUUACGGGUGGCGAGUGGCGGACGGGUGAGGAAUACAUCCGAAUCUGCUGUUGCUUGGGGGAGAACGUAGGGAAUAUUACCGUAAUACCCCAUACGACCUACGGGGGAGAGCAGGGGAUCUUCGGACCUUGCACGAUUGUAUGAGCCGAUGUCGGAUUAGCUAGUUGGCGGGGUAAAGGCCCACCAAGGCGACGAUCGUCAGCUGGUCUGAGCGGUGGAUCGGCAACACUGGACCGGGGAAACGGCCCAGAUCCCUAGGGGAGGCAGAGGUGGGAAUUAUGGGCCAAGGGGGGAAAGCCUGACCCAGCCAUACCGCGUGGGGGAAGAAGGCCUUCGGGUGGUAAAGCCCUUUUGUUGGGAAAGAAAAGCAGCAGGUUAAUCCCCCGCUGUUCUGACGGUACCCAAAGAAUAAGCACCGGCUAACUUCGU
rnacentral:rRNA from 1 species